AGGACGAACGCUGGCGGCGUGCUUAACACAUGCAAGUCGAACGAUGACCCGGAGCUUGCUCCGGUGAUUAGUGGCGGACGGGUGAGUAACACGUGAGUAACCUGCCCUCCACUCUGGGAUAAGCACUGGAAACGGUGUCUAAUACCGGAUACGAGCUUCCGCCGCAUGGUGAGGAGCUAGGAAAGUAAUUUUGGGUGGGGGAUGGACUCGCGGUCCUAUCAGGUAGUUGGUGAGGUAAUGGCUCACCAAGCCGACGGACGGGUAGCCGGCCUGAGAGGGUCGACCGGCCACACGUGGGACUGAAGACACCGGCCCAGACUCCGACGGGA
rnacentral:rRNA from 1 species